rnacentral:rRNA from 1 species
AACGAACGCUGGCGGCGCGCCUAAUACAUGCAAGUCGAGCGAGAAGACGUAGCAAUACGUUUGUAAAGCGGCGAACGGGUGAGGAAUACAUGGGUAACCUACCCUCGAGUGGGGAAUAACUAGCCGAAAGGUUAGCUAAUACCGCGUACGCUUCUUGGACUUCGGUUCAGGGAGGAAAGCGAUACCGUGGGUAUCGCGCUCUUGGAUGGGCUCAUGUCCUAUCAGCUUGUUGGUGAGGUAACGGCUCACCAAGGCUUCGACGGGUAGCUGGUCUGAGAGGACGAUCAGCCACACUGGCACUGCGACACGGGCCAGACUCCUACGGGAGGCAGCAGUAAGGAAUAUUGCGCAAUGGGCGAAAGCCUGACGCAGCGACGCCGCGUGGGGGAUGAAGGUCUUCGGAUUGUAAACCCCUUUCGGGAGGGAAGAUGGAGCGAGCAAUCGUUCGGACGGUACCUCCAGAAGCAGCCACGGCUAACUUCGUGCCAGCCGCCGCGGUAACAC